UACGUAGGGUGCGAGCGUUGUCCGGAUUUAUUGGGCGUAAAGAGCUCGUAGGCGGUUUGUCGCGUCGGCCGUGAAAUCUCCACGCUUAACGUGGAGCGUGCGGUCGAUACGGGCAGACUUGAGUUCGGUAGGGGAGACUGGAAUUCCUGGUGUAGCGGUGAAAUGCGUAGAUAUCUGGAGGAACACCGGUGGCGAAGGCGGCAUCCUGGACCGAUACUGACGCUGAGGAGCGAAAGCCAGGGGAGCAAACAGG
rnacentral:rRNA from 1 species